UACGGGGGGGGCAAGCGUUGUUCGGAAUUACUGGGCGUAAAGGGCGCGUAGGCGGUUUGCUAAGUCGGAUGUGAAAACUCUGGGCUCAACCCAGAGCCUGCAUCCGAAACUGGCGGGCUAGAGUUCUGGAGGGGGUAGCGGAAUUCCUGGUGUAGCGGUGAAAUGCGUAGAUAUCAGGAGGAACACCGGUGGCGAAGGCGGCUACCUGGACAGAAACUGACGCUGAGGCGCGAAAGCUAGGGGAGCAAACAGG
rnacentral:rRNA from 1 species